AACAUGACCUUGGUAGGUUGCUGGUACCAUUUCGAAGCUAAAACAAAACAUAGUCUCUCUUUCUAUCUAUGCAGUAUUUACCAUCCAUCCAAAUCCUAGCUUCAAGCCUCCAAUCUCUGCUCAUAUUUCUAUUCCUAUAUCUUUAUUGUUCCCACCACCCAUCCAACACAACACCACCCCUUUAAUUAAUCAAUUAAUUCAUUUUUUGAGUGGCUGCAAAACCCCACGUGCUUUCCCUCCUUACUUUUUGCCCCGCCCCUUAUUCUUCUUUCCACCUCUUUUCUCAAUCCGUAGUAAUCACCUUCGAGGUUUAGGGUUUUGUUCCUCAACAUCACGUUUCGCUCAAUUUUCAAACAUAUAUUUAUUUUUUUAUUUUUCUGUCUCCGCCAUGUCUAGGAGGGUUCUUUGUAAAUUCUUUGCUCAUGGAGCAUGUCUGAAAGGGGAGCAUUGUGAAUAUUCUCAUGACUGGAAUGAUCCUCCGAAUUUGAUAUGCACAUUUUAUCAGAAAGGAGUCUGUGCUUAUGGUAGUCGUUGCAGAUAUGAUCAUGUCAAAGUUUCUCGACCACAAUCCUCGACGGCUUCUUCCUCAAUAACUGAACAACGGCCCCUGGUUUCAGAUGAUGUUGUAUUUGGUAAUAUUGGAAUUACAUCAAAUGGUAUUGCUGCAGCUCCUGAGUUUUCUCCUUCCAGAAGUCCUUCCCUUAUUCCCAGCAUACCUGCUUGGAAUCAAGAACAGCAGCAGUAUCAUGAAUUUGUAGGGGACGAUGAUGUUCGUCAAUCUAGAAUUACUUCACCUGCUGAGAUUCCAAUCUGUUCAUUUGCUGCGGCUGGCAACUGUCCACGAGGGGAAACUUGUCCUCAUAUCCAUGGAGAUUUGUGUAGUACUUGUGGAAAAAACUGCUUGCAUCCUUUUCGACCUGAGGAAAGAGCAGAACAUAUGAAGAGUUGUGAAAAUAAGCAAAAGCAUCUUGAGGCAUUGAAACGUAGUCAAGAAAUUGAAUGCAGUGUGUGCCUUGAGCGUGUUCUUUCAAAGCCUACUGCAGCAGAACGAAAGUUUGGGCUGUUAUCUGAAUGUGACCAUCCGUUCUGCAUAUCAUGUAUUAGAAAUUGGCGUAGUAGCAACCCAACAUUGGGGAUGGAUGUCAAUAGUACAUUGAGGGCAUGUCCUAUCUGUCGCAAGCUAUCUUACUUUGUCAUUCCAAGUGUCAUUUGGUAUUCUACACAUGAAGAAAAAAUGGAAAUCGUUGACAGCUACAAGGCAAAGCUCAAGUCCAUAGAUUGCAAACAUUUUGACUUUGGCGAUGGGAACUGUCCUUUUGGAACCAGUUGUUUCUACAAGCAUGCAUAUAGAGAUGGUCGGCUUGAGGAGGUAGUUCUGCGACAUCUUGGAGCUGCAGAUGGCGAUACAGUGAUUGCCAAAGAUAUCAGGCUGUCAGAUUUCCUAGCUAGCAUGCAUUUACAAUGAAGGUGGUGCUCAUAUGUUUUAGGGAUACUUGCAUAAAAAUGGCAUGCUUCAAUGUCAAAGGUUUUUUAGUGUUGCAAGUCGAACAACUUUUGUUCUAUGUGAAGUACCUGAUAAAAAGGCGGUGGUGCAUUCUUUGUUGUAAUAAAGGCAUAUGUUAAAUGAUAUAUGGACAUACAUGCUUUUACAAGGGUGUAGUCUUCAACAUUAUAAAUCAAAGUAUGUAUUGAUGGGGUUAUACAUUAUGCAUUGUGAUGAGGUUUCCCUGUCAUCAUUAUUGAGAUGAUGAGAUGUGUAUUGCAUAAUGGAUUUUCCUCCUGGGUGACAUUGCACCAAGUGCCUUGGGAAAAGGGAUAUAUGGUUUCAUUUGAAUUUUAGAAUUAAAACUGUAAUAUUUAUAAUAAUUUUGAUUUUGUUUUCAA